AUUGAACGCUGGCGGCAGGCCUAACACAUGCAAGUCGAGCGGAGCGGCGGACGGGUGAGUAAUGCCUAGGAAUCUGCCUGGUAGUGAGGGAUCACGUCCGGAGACGGGCGCUAAUACCGCAUACGAGCAGAUGAGCCUAGGUCGGAUGAGCUAGUUGGUGGGGUAAAGGCUUACCAAGGCGACGAUCCGUAACUGGUCUGAGAGGAUGAUCAGUCACACUGGAACUGAGACACGUGCCAGACUCCUACGGGAGGCAGCAGUGGGGAAUAUUGGACAAUGGGCGAAAGCCUGACCCAGCCAUGCCGCGUGAGUGAAGAAGGUUUUCGGAUUGUAAAGCACUGUAGGUAGGGAGGCGUUACCAACAGAAUAAGCACCGGCUAACUUCGUGCCAGCAGCCGCGGUAAUUC
rnacentral:rRNA from 1 species